rnacentral:ncRNA from 1 species
UGAAAAUCCAUGGGGGAAAUCAGGGUGAAAUUCCCUGUCUUGAAAUGAAACGGUUAAAGUCCGAAUGCCCC